rnacentral:rRNA from 1 species
UACAGGGGGGGCAAGCGUUGUUCGGAAUUACUGGGCGUAAAGGGCUCGUAGGCGGCCAACUAAGUCAGACGUGAAAUCCCUCAGCUUAACUGGGGAACUGCGUCUGAUACUGGAUGGCUUGGAUUCGGGAGAGGAAUGCGGAAUUCCAGGUGUAGCGGUGAAAUGCGUAGAUAUCUGGAGGAACACCGGUGGCGAAGGCGGCAUUCUGGACCGAUAUUGACGCUGAGGAGCGAAAGCCAGGGGAGCAAAGCGGGG